UGGUGGUGGCUUGUGAGUGACGAAUGAGACUCAUGGUGGAGGUGAAGUAGCGGAUCGACUUUUAGAGCAAUGUAGUUAGUUGAUUGCGAGAGUUGAGCCAUGAUACUUAAGGACACCCGAGUAGUCCGAGUGUUUCGGAUGUUGUUCCGGUAGAUCGAACAGUGAAAGUAGAAUCACUGUUGAGAGAUUAACCGGUUGGUUACCGAGUAUGGGCAUGUGGGCCUGGUAGUACCUUGAAUUGAGGUGGGUGAGUCGUGCUCGUGUGGCCGGUGUGCAUAGGCAAGGUUGCCUAAUCUGGACUUAGUGUGGAACGCUAUAGAAUCGUACGACGCUCGAGUGUAGAUG
rnacentral:lncRNA from 1 species